GAAAUCUUCUGCUUGCAGGAGAGAGUAAAGUGGCGUACGGGUGAGUAAUGCGUGGGUAAUCUACCUUUGAAUUCGGGAUAACAUGUCGAAAGGUGUGCUAAUACCGGAUGAAGUCCAUGUAGUAAUGAUUAUAUGGAUGAAAGAUGGCCUCUACAUGUAAGCUAUUGUUUGGAGAUGAGCCUGCGUACCAUUAGCUAGUUGGUGGGGUAAGGGCCUACCAAGGCGACGAUGGUUAGCUGGUCUGAGAGGAUGAUCAGCCACACUGGAACUGGAACACGGUCCAGACUCCUACGGGAGGCAGCAGUGAGGAAUUUUGCGCAAUGGGGGAAACCCUGACGCAGCAACGCCGCGUGAGUGAUGAAGGCUUUCGGGUCGUAAAGCUCUGUCGAUCGGGAAGAAGGUGAAUCAGUUAAACAGACUGGUUUAUUGACGGUACCGAUGAAGGAAGCACCGGCUAAUCC
rnacentral:rRNA from 1 species